GAUGAACGCUAGCGGAGGCUUAACACAUGCAAGUCGAGGGGCAGCAUAGGGUAGCAAUACUCUGAUGGCGACCGGCAAACGGGUGAGUAACGCGUAUGUAACCUACCCUGUACAGGGGGAUAACCCGGAGAAAUUCGGACUAAUAUCCCAUAACAAUAUCCGGGGGCAUCUUUGGAUAUUUAAAGUUCCGGCGGUACGGGAUGGGCAUGCGUAACAUUAGCUAGUUGGUAAGGUAACGGCUUACCAAGGCUUUGAUGUUUAGGGGUCCUGAGAGGGUGGUCCCCCACACUGGUACUGAGACACGGACCAGACUCCUACGGGAGGCAGCAGUGAGGAAUAUUGGUCAAUGGGCGCAAGCCUGAACCAGCCAUCCCGCGUGCAGGAAGACGGCGCUAUGCGUUGUAAACUGCUUUUCCAGGGAGAGAAACUUGCGCACGUGUUGCGCAAUUGACGGUACCCUGGGAAUAAGCAUCGGCUAACUCCGUG
rnacentral:rRNA from 1 species